rnacentral:rRNA from 1 species
GUCCACGCCGUAAACGAUGGAUACUAGCUGUUUGGUUGUAAGACUGAGUGGCUAAGCGAAAGUGAUAAGUAUCCCACCUGGGGAGUACGGGCGCAAGCCUGAAACUCAAAGGAAUUGACGGGGGCCCGCACAAGCGGUGGAGCAUGUGGUUUAAUUCGAUGAUACGCGAGGAACCUUACCAGGGCUUAAAUGUAGAUUGACAGGUUUGGAAACAGAUUUUUCUUCGGACAAUUUACAAGGUGCUGCAUGGUUGUCGU